rnacentral:piRNA from 1 species
UGGAAAGUACACUACCAGGUGCACUGC